UAUAUAGAAUAUAUACCGAAAACAGCAGUUUAAGCGUAAAAUACGGCUGAUUUAAUACUUCAUAAGCAAAAUAUAACUACGAAUCACUCAUGUGUGUUUUUAUAAGUUUACAACAAUCAGAAUAUACGAAGAAUUUCCAUAACGCAUCUGUCGUAUGGGUGUGAAUCUGCGUCCCAAAAGCGCUCGUCAGACGAUGUAAACACGUGUAGCUGGUAUUCCCGAUGAUGGCGAUCUUUUGAUGAUUUAUCAGAGUAAUUUGAAAAGUGUCACACUGAUUUGAAAAAAAAGGCUGGAAGAAAAUCUGGUACCUGCUUUGUCUUGAGAUUUACAUAAAUGAUGUUCUUAUUGGUGAUCAUUUACCCGCACCCUAAUCCUGGUGUCAUAUACAAGAUGAAAUGAUGAAAAGAAAAACCUGAACUUUAGAAACAGGAAGACUGUGUUUUUGAAGAGAGAAGAGGACCAGAACUAAGAAGUCAUACAAUAAACACAUUGACAUCAUAAAAAGAAAUUGCAAUUUUGAGUUUGCAUGCAUAUGUCAGGUUUAAAUGUUGUCACAGAAUUUUUUUCAGAAAGGCCCUUUAUCUUCUUGAAUUAAUAAAACAAAUGAACCAAAUAUAAUUGUUUCUAUAUAUAUAAUUUUGUUUGAGAAGUGGAAAGGGGAUGAUAUGUAAAUGGGCGGGAGAGAGAGUCUCUCACAUGGGAGAAUUCAGACUUAUUUAAAUUCAAUAUAUUGAUGUGAACCAAAAAUGACUUUUGAUCGCCUUGUUGCAGGAUUUACACACUCUCUUUCCUUUCUCGGUAAUGAGAAAUGAGCGUUUAGAAUUUAAAUUAUUUUGUGAAUGAAUAGAUAUGCUAACCCUCCCCCUCUCUUUAAUCUU